rnacentral:rRNA from 1 species
AGAGUUUGAUCAUGGCUCAGAUUGAACGCUGGCGGAAUGCUUUACACAUGCAAGUCGAGCGGCAGCGCGGGGGCAACCCUGGCGGCGAGCGGCGAACGGGUGAGUAAUGUAUCAGAACGUACCCUGUCGKGGGGGAUAACUAUCCGAAAGGAUAGCUAAKACSGCAYACGACCUGAGGGKGAAAGCGGGGGACCUGGGGUAACUUGGGCCUCGCGCGAUARGAGCGGCCGAUAUCGGAUUAGSUAGUUGGUGGGGUAAAGGCUCACCAAGGCGACRAUCCGUAGCUGGUCUGAGAGGACGACCAGCCACACUGGAACUGAGACACGGUCCAGACUCCUACGGGAGGCAGCAGUGGGGAAUUUUGGACAAUGGGGGCAACCCUGAUCCAGCCAUUCCGCGUGAGUGAAGAAGGCCUUCGGGUUGUAAAGCUCUUUCRGCAGGAACGAAACGGUGGUCCCGAAUACGGGCUGCUAAUGACGGUACCUGAAGAAGAAGCACCGGCUAACUACGUGCCAGCAGYCGCGGUAAUUC